rnacentral:rRNA from 1 species
UACAGAGGUCCCGAGCGUUGUUCGGAUUCAUUGGGCGUAAAGGGUGCGUAGGCGGCUUGGCAAGUUGGGUGUGAAAGCCCUCGGCUCAACCGAGGAAUUGCGCUCAAUACUGCCGAGCUCGAGAGAGACAGAGGUAAGCGGAACUAAUGGUGGAGCGGUGAAAUGCGUUGAUAUCAUUAGGAACACCGGUGGCGAAGGCGGCUUACUGGGUCUUUUCUGACGCUGAGGCACGAAAGCCAGGGGAGCGAACGGG